UAAAACCAGCACCUCAAGUGGUCAGGAGGAUUAUUGGGCCUAAAGCAUCCGUAGCCUGUUCUAUAAGUUUCCGGUUAAAUCCAUUAGCUCAACUAAUGGGCCGCCGAAAAUACUGUAGAACUAGGGAGUGGGAGAGGUAGACGGUAUUCGGUAGGAAGGGGUAAAAUCCUUUGAUCUAUUGAGGACCACCUGUGGCGAAGGCGGUCUACCAGAACACGUUCGACGGUGAGGGAUGAAAGCUGGGGGAGCAAACCGGAUUAGAUACCCGGGUAGUCCCAGCUGUAAACAAUGCAGACUCGGCGAUGCGCUGGCUUGUGGCCAGUGCAGUGCCGCAGGGAAGCCGUUAAGUUUGCCGCCUGGGAAGUACGUACGCAAGUAUG
rnacentral:rRNA from 2 species